UACGAAGGGGGCGAGCGUUAUUCGGAAUCACUGGGCGUAAAGCGUGCGUAGGCUGUUUUGUAAGUCAGAAGUGAAAGCCCAGGGCUCAACCUUGGAAUUGCUUUUGAAACUACAAGACUUGAAUUCGGGAGAGGAUAGCGGAGUUGUCAGUGUAGCAGUGAAAUGCGUAGAUAUUGACAGGAACACCAGUGGCGAAAGCGGCUAUCUGGACCGACAUUGACGCUGAGGCACGAAAGCGUGGGGAGCAAACAGG
rnacentral:rRNA from 1 species